GCAGUGGUGGUUCAGUGGCAGAAUUCUCGCCUGUCAUGCGGGAGACCUGGGUUUGACUCCCAGUCAAUGCA